GUCUAUGGCGGGCUGUGCGAGGCAUCCGAAAGGAUGGCCGGUUCCUUCGACCGGUAGGCCAACCUCGUUCAGUCCGCCACCACC
rnacentral:antisense_RNA from 1 species